UAGGGAAUUUUGCGCAAUGGACGAAAGUCUGACGCAGCAACACCGUGUGAGGGAUGAAGCAUUUCGGUGUGUAAACCUCUGUCGAUGAUGAAUAAUGUUUCGGGGAGUGGAAAGCCUCGGGAUUGAAGGUAAUCAUGAAGGAAGCACCGGCUAACUCUGUGCCAGCAGCCGCGGUAAUACAGGGGGUGCAAGCGUUGUUCGGAAUCACUGGGCGUAAAGGGAGCGUAGGCGGAACUACAAGACAGGGGUUAAAGAUCCGGGCUCAACCUGGAGCAUGCCUUUGUGACUGUGGUUCUUGAGUAUGGUAGAGGUCAGCGGAAUUUCCGGUGUAGCGGUGGAAUGCGUAGAGAUCGGAAAGAACACCAGAGGCGAAGGCGGCUGACUGGACCAAUACUGACGCUGAGGCUCGAAAGCGUGGGGAGCAAACAGG
rnacentral:rRNA from 1 species